rnacentral:rRNA from 1 species
GUAAUCGCGAAUCAGCAUGUCGCGGUGAAUACGUUCCCGGGCCUUGUACACACCGCCCGUCACACCAUGAGAGUUGGCAAUACCCAACGUACGUGAUCUAACCCGCAAGGGAGGAAGCGUCCUAAGGUAGGGUCAGCGAUUGGGGUGAAGUCGUAACAAGGUACC